GUGGUGACCAGUGUGCAUGGGUAUUUUAAUUUGGGCUAAAUGUGCCUCUUGUGAUGAGAUGAAUAAUGCCAAGCUUCUUUUGCAGGCUGAAGUCGGCACACCUGCCUAGCCUCCUUCAUUAGCAUCUCAUGGGGACUGGAAUAUAUGGUUCCUUCACCAUUGUAAUUGUGCCUUGGCUCAUCUGCACAGCUCAUUCGCUUUUUAUGGACUUACUUUCCAAGGAAGAAGGUGUGAAACUG
rnacentral:lncRNA from 10 species